rnacentral:rRNA from 1 species
AGAGUUUGAUUCUGGCUCAGAACGACGCUGGCGGCGCGUUUAAGCAUGCAAGUCGAGCGGCAAGGGCCUUCGGGCCCCUAGAGCGGCGGACGGGUGAGUAACACGUGGACAAUCUGCCCCCCGGCCCGGGAUAGCCCAGGGAAACCUGGAUUAAUACCGGAUGAGACGGGACCCGCGAUGGCGGGACCCGGGAAAGGCGCUGCGGCGCCGCCGGGGGAUGAGUCUGCGUCCCAUUAGCUAGACGGCGGGGUAACGGCCCACCGUGGCGACGAUGGGUAGCCGGCCUGAGAGGGUGGACGGCCACAUUGGAACUGAGACACGGUCCAGACUCCUACGGGAGGCAGCAGCUAAGAAUCUUCCGCAAUGGGCGAAAGCCUGACGGAGCGACGCCCGCGUGAACGAAGAAGGCCGUGAGGUUGUAAAGUUCUUUUCGGGAGGGGAACAACCGUGGCAGGGAAUGGCCGCGGGAUGACGUGAAUCCCGGAAUAAGCCCCGGCUAACUACGUGCCAGCAGCCGC